GAUGAACGCUGGCGGCGUGCCUAACACAUGCAAGUCGAACGGAGUCCAGCCUUUAAGACCUUCGGGUCAAAGAGGGGAAGACUGAGUGGCGGACGGGUGAGUAACACGUGGGCAACCUGGCUCAUAGAGGGGGAUAACAGAGAGAAAUUUCUGCUAAUACCGCAUAAGCACACACUGCCGCAUGGCAGAGGGUGAAAAGAGAAUCGCUAUGAGAUGGACCCGCGUCUGAUUAGCCAGUUGGCAGGGUAAGAGCCUACCAAAGCGACGAUCAGUAGCCGAUCUGAGAGGAUGAACGGCCACAUUGGGACUGAGACACGGCCCAAACUCCUACGGGAGGCAGCAGUGGGGGAUAUUGCAAAAUGGGGGGAACCCUGAUGCAGCGACGCCGCGUGAGUGAAGAAGUAUUUCGGUAUGUAAAGCUCUAUCAGCAGGGAAGAUAAUGACAGUACCUGAAUAAGAAGCCCCGGCUAACUACGUG
rnacentral:rRNA from 1 species